rnacentral:rRNA from 1 species
GUGGGGAAUAUUGGGCAAUGGGCGCAAGCCUGACCCAGCAACGCCGCGUGAGGGAAGAAGGUUUUCGGAUUGUAAACCUCUGUCGCAAGGGACGAAGAAGUGACGGUACCUUGUGAGGAAGCCCCGGCUAACUACGUGCCAGCAGCCGCGGUAAUACGUAGGGGGCGAGCGUUGUCCGGAAUUACUGGGCGUAAAGGGUGCGUAGGCGGUUGCUUAAGUUGGAUGUGAAAUACCCGGGCUUAACUUGGGGGGUGCAUUCAAAACUGGGCAACUAGAGUUCAGGAGAGGGAAGCGGAAUUCCUAGUGUAGCGGUGAAAUGCGUAGAUAUUAGGAGGAACACCAGUGGCGAAGGCGGCUUUCUGGACUGACACUGACGCUGAGGCACGAAAGCGUGGGGAGCAAACAGGAUUAGAUACCCGGGUAGUCC